GGCAUUUGCUUAUUGCACCACAUGUGUUUUUUAUUGAACAAAUUUCUUUGGUGGCGGGAGCAAUCCUACCGCCAGAGGUUAUAACUAAACCAAACUUUUUAUUUACAGUCAAACUUGAUUUAUUAUUACAAUAGUCAAAACUUUCAACAACGGAUCUCUUGGUUCUCGCAUCGAUGAAGAACGCAGCGAAAUGCGAUACGUAAUAUGAAUUGCAGAUAUUCGUGAAUCAUCGAAUCUUUGAACGCACAUUGCGCCCUUUGGUAUUCCAAAGGGCAUGCCUGUUUGAGCGUCAUUUCUCCCUCAAACCCCCGGGUUUGGUGUUGAGCAAUACGCUAGGUUUGUUUGAAAGAAUUUAACGUGGAAACUUAUUUUAAGCGACUUAGGUUUAUCCAAAACGCUUAUUUUGCUAGUGGCCACCACAAUUUAUUUCAUAACUUUGACCUCAAAUCAGGUAGGACUACCCGCUGAACUUAAGCAUAUCAAAA
rnacentral:rRNA from 1 species